AGGGCAGGAACAGUACCAGUAUAAAUUACACACAGACCCACUGAUCUGUCCUUUCCAGAGCCUUCUGCUGCCAGAUCAACAAGAUUUCAUGGCGUUUCCUCUGUGGGAGAUGCUGUGGAAACUUGACUGGUCUUGUAGCUCUAAUGUCAUCAUGAAGGAGGCGGAGUUUAUGUAAAUCCUUGCUGCCAGGGGCAGGGUCAUCUGGACCAGUGCCAUUCAGAGGGGAAACCCAUUUGUUUGGUGCUGAUGUACAGAUGCGCAGAGGCCAGCGCAGUCUGCGAAGCCGUACACCGAUGUGACGCAAGACAAGAAUCUGCGCGCAAAGCCUCAAGUCUCUGACAAAUUCUACAAAAACCGACCACGAAAAAACCAAUGCAUGUGAUGCUAAAAGCGAACCAAGAAAUCUCUUUAACACGUUGAUGACUUCUGAAUAAUGCUACAAAUGUAAAGUGAAGUGAAGAAGUGAAUCUUUGGUGAAACCUUUGGUUUCUGCAUUGCUUGGUUCAGUUUUUCCGGGGCAGAACUGGGAAACAAAGAGCCCCGGAACACAAUUUGGAAAAAACAACAACAAAAGAAAUAAAAACAAAAUUCAAACUAAUAA